GAAAGCUAUCUGCUAGGAAUGCCGAGGCCCUCAUCUGGGCCCAGACGACUUGUGGCAGCCCCCACAGGCAUUUUCCUGAACAGAGCCAGUGUUGUGACUGGAUCAGCUCUCGUGGUUCUUAGGAUGAUUGCGAGAUGCGCCCCAGCAACCACCAUCAGAGAACUCGGAAUAACAAGAUUUGUUACUCACAGGUCCUGGAGGAAAAAUCUCAUGCAUAUACAAGCAUAUAUAUGCACAUCCUUAGAAAACAAACAGCGAAUGGAAUCAGACAACAGAACGAGGAGUUGGAAAACCAGAAGAGCAGAGGAGAUGCUGAGAAAGACAAGACUGCUAGCAGGUGUUCCAAGCACAGAGAGCGCAUUUGAAGGCUACUGCUUGGCUUUUGCUUAUGUGUGAACUGGGGGCCAGUUGUCUUACAAGAAUGGUAAAUAAAGGCAAGGAGUUUUUAACCAA
rnacentral:lncRNA from 1 species